UUGUUACCUUGGCUUACGUUCAGUUCACAAAGACCAGAUUUACUGAAGGAAGUGUUGCAGAAAACAGAAAACUCCCCCAUUGACGAACAACAACCACGGGGAGGUGAAGGACGCCACCGUCGUGUGAUCCGGAAAAAUGGGCGCCGGCUGGCUGAUCAGGACCAAGGGUGUCUGCCAUCACCUUCUCAGCAGUAGCGGCAGCCGACCGGAAAGGAUUAUUUCGGGCUUGCGCCUUCACUCGGCAACAGUUGAUAAUUGAAUCAACUCGAGAAGAUUUUAUCAUUACUCAAUGGGUGGCGGUGAAAGUAUUAGAUAAGUUGAUCUAUUAAUUCUUUUGUCAACCUGUUUUCUCACUCUCACGUCAGUCGGUACACAGGGAGUAGCGGGGUGAUUGGAUAUCUUGAUCUGACUCAUGGUGACU